GCAGAUUUGUCUCUCCCGCUCGGGAGCCCGGUGGAUCCUCUCCCACCUCCCCACCUCGCCCCCCGCCUUUAUUUUUUUUUCCUGCAGGUCUUCAUUUAAUUUGUUUUUCCCCCUGCUGCAAGCCUUCUUGGGUGUAUAUACACAUUUAUUUUGCACCGAGAAGGAAGAGCGCUUUAUAAGUUAAAAUACAGUGGGGGCAUAUGUGUAUUUUUUUCCCCACUGUGGAUGCCAAUAUUUUUGAGACUGGAAGCCUAAAUUUUUUGUUGGAAACCAUUUCGUUUCCGUUUCUUGCCUCUUACCGCCGAAGAGUGCAAGGCCUUUCAUGAGCUGGAGGAGGGAAUGAUAUUCAGUGGUGUUUUUCUCAGGUGAAAGGAGCAGUAGAUGAUGAUGUAGCAGAAGAUCACUUAUUUGAGACAUAGUCCUCAAGUGGAAUUAUGAAAUCAAAGAGUGACUCCAUAAAGUGCCUCACAACACAAGAGCUGAGCAGAUAUAAUUUCUACAGUAGAAUUUAAUCAUUCUGGAGAAUUACUAGCAACAGGAGAUAAAGGUGGUAGAGUCGUCAUCUUUCAACAAGAGCAGGAGCGCCUUUGACCUGAGGAUCUCAAAGUGCUUUACAAACACUAAUGAAUUAAUCCUCACAACACCCCAGUGAG
rnacentral:sRNA from 1 species